AACGAACGCUGGCGGCAUGCCUAACACAUGCAAGUCGAACGAAGCCUUCGGGCUUAGUGGCGCACGGGUGCGUAACACGUGGGAAUCUGCCCUUAGGUACGGAAUAACUCAGGGAAACUUGAGCUAAUACCGUAUGAUGUCUUCGGACCAAAGAUUUAUCGCCUAAGGAUGAGCCCGCGUCGGAUUAGCUAGUUGGUGGGGUAAAGGCCUACCAAGGCGACGAUCCGUAGCUGGUCUGAGAGGAUGAUCAGCCACACUGGGACUGAGACACGGCCCAGACUCCUACGGGAGGCAGCAGUGGGGAAUAUUGGACAAUGGGCGAAAGCCUGAUCCAGCAAUGCCGCGUGAGUGAAGAAGGCCUUAGGGUUGUAAAGCUCUUUCGUCCGGGACGAUAAUGACGGUACCGGAAGAAGAAGCCCCGGCUAACUUCGUGCCAGCCGCCGCGGUAA
rnacentral:rRNA from 1 species